rnacentral:rRNA from 1 species
CAGCAGCCGCGGUAAUACCGGCGGCCCGAGUGGUGGCCGCUAUUAUUGGGCCUAAAGCGUCCGUAGCCGGGCCCGUAAGUCCCUGGCGAAAUCCCACGGCUCAACCGUGGGGCUUGCUGGGGAUACUGCGGGCCUUGGGACCGGGAGAGGCGGGGGGGACCCCUGGGGGAGGGGGGAAAACCUAUAAUCCCAGGGGGGCCGCCAGUGGCGAAGGCGCCCCGCUGGGACGGGUCCGACGGUGAGGGACGAAGGCCAGGGGAGCAAACCGGAUUAGAUACCCGGGUAGUCCUGGCGGUAAAGGAUGCGGGCUAGGUGUCGGGUGAGCUUCGAGCUCGCCCGGUGCCGUAGGGAAGCCGUUAAGCCCGCCGCCUGGGGAGUACGGCCGCAAGGCUGAAACUUAAAGGAAUUGGCGGG